rnacentral:rRNA from 1 species
UACAGAGGUCUCAAGCGUUUGUUCGGAUUCAUUGGGCGUAAAGGGUGUGUAGGCGGGCUGUUAAGUCAGUGGUGAAAUCUCCGGGCUCAACCCGGAAACUGCCAUUGAUACUAUCAGUCUUGAAUAUCGUUGAGGUGGGCAGAAUAUGUCAUGUAGCGGUGAAAUGCAUAGAUAUGACAUAGAAUACCGAUUGCGAAGGCAGCUCACUAACCGAUCAUUGACGCUGAGGCACGAAAGCGUGGGGGACAAACAGG